rnacentral:rRNA from 1 species
AGGACGAACGCUGGCGGCGUGCUUAACACAUGCAAGUCGAGCGGAAAGGCCCUUCGGGGUACUCGAGCGGCGAACGGGUGAGUAACACGUGAGCAACCUGCCCUUAGCUUCGGGAUAGCUCCGGGAAACCGGAAUUAAUGCCGGAUAUGACUAUGGCCGACAUCAGCCAUGGUGGAAAGUUUUUCGGCUAGGGAUGGACUCGCGGCCUAUCAGCUAGUUGGUGAGGUAACGGCUCACCAAGGCGACGACGGGUAGCCGGCCUGAGAGGGCGACCGGCCACACUGGGACUGAGACACGGCCCAGACUCCUACGGGAGGCAGCAGUGGGGAAUAUUGCGCAAUGGGCGAAAGCCUGACGCAGCGACGCCGCGUGGGGGAUGAAUGCCUUCGGGUUGUAAACCCUUUCAGCAGGGACGAAGCGAAAGUGACGGUACCUGCAGAAGAAGCGCCGGCUAACUACGCGCCAGCAGCCGC